rnacentral:rRNA from 1 species
CACGUAGGGGGCAAGCGUUGUCCGGAUUUAUUGGGCGUAAAGAGCUCGUAGGCGGUUCGGUAAGUCAGGUGUGAAACCUCCAGGCUCAACCUGGAGACGCCACCUGAUACUGCUGUGACUCGAGUCCGGUAGGGGAGCGUGGAAUUCCUGGUGUAGCGGUGAAAUGCGCAGAUAUCAGGAGGAACACCAGCGGCGAAGGCGGCGCUCUGGGCCGGAACUGACGCUGAGGAGCGAAAGCGUGGGUAGCAAACAGG